GCUACCGUAGCACAACGGUAGUGCAACGGUUUUGUAAACCGUAGGUUGUGGGUUCGAUUCCCACCGGUAGCU
rnacentral:tRNA from 1 species